GACGAACGCUGGCGGCGUGCCUAAUACAUGCAAGUAGAACGCUGAAGGAGGAGCUUGCUUCUCUGGAUGAGUUGCGAACGGGUGAGUAACGCGUAGGUAACCUGCCUGGUAGCGGGGGAUAACUAUUGGAAACGAUAGCUAAUACCGCAUAAUAGCAGUUGUUGCAUGACAAAUGUUUGAAAGGUGCAAAUGCAUCACUACCAGAUGGACCUGCGUUGUAUUAGCUAGUUGGUGGGGUAAAGGCUCACCAAGGCGACGAUACAUAGCCGACCUGAGAGGGGGAUCGGCCACACUGGGACUGAGACACGGCCCAGACUCCUACGGGAGGCAGCAGUAGGGAAUCUUCGGCAAUGGACGGAAGUCUGACCGAGCAACGCCGCGUGAGUGAAGAAGGUUUUCGGAUCGUAAAGCUCUGUUGUAAGAGAAGAACGAGUGUGAGAGUGGAAAGUUCACACUGUGACGGUAUCUUACCAGAAAGGGACGGCUAACUACGUG
rnacentral:rRNA from 1 species